rnacentral:rRNA from 1 species
ACAAUGGAGAGUUUGAUCCUGGCUCAGGACGAACGCUGGCGGCGGGCUUAACACAUGCAAGUCGAAGGAGAAGGAAGGAGCUUGCUCUUUCUGGAGACUGGCGGACGGGUGAGUAACGCGUAGCCAACCUGCCUUUAGCUGGGGGAUAACAUUCCGAAAGGGGUGCUAAUACCGCAUAAUGCAGCGGGGCCGCAUGGCCACAGUUGUUAAAGGUUUCGACCGGCUAAAGAGGGGGCUGCGUGCUAUUAGUUAGUUGGU